rnacentral:rRNA from 1 species
ACUCCUACGGGAGGCAGCAGUGGGGAAUAUUGCACAAUGGGGGAAACCCUGAUGCAGCCAUGCCGCGUGUGUGAAGAAGGCCUUCGGGUUGUAAAGCACUUUCAGUAGGGAGGAAGGUAGUGUAGUUAACACCUGCAUUAUUUGACGUUACCUACAGAAGAAGCACCGGCUAACUCCGUGCCAGCAGCCGCGGUAAUACGGAGGGUGCGAGCGUUAAUCGGAAUUACUGGGCGUAAAGCGCAUGCAGGCGGCCUGUUAAGUCAGAUGUGAAAGCCCGGGGCUUAACCUCGGAAUUGCAUUUGAAACUGGCAGGCUAGAGUCUUGUAGAGGGGGGUAGAAUUUCAGGUGUAGCGGUGAAAUGCGUAGAGAUCUGAAGGAAUACCGGUGGCGAAGGCGGCCCCCUGGACAGAUACUGACACUCAGAUGCGAAAAGCGUGGGGAGCAAAACAGGAUUAGAUACCCU